AUUGGAGAUUUAGUUAUGAAUACUAUGGGGAAAAUAUUAUUCGGAAAAGGGCGAAGGAGUAAUGAGGACGAAGGAAUAAAUAAAGCUCACAAAGCAAUUCGAAGAUUUUUCGAAUUGUUAGGAGCUUUUGUUGUGGCUGAUUUUUUACCUUAUUUAAGAUGGCUGGACAUUGGAGGCCAUGAGAAAGCGAUGAAGGAGGUUUCUAAAGAAAUGGACUCUGUUGUUGAAGAAUGGUUAACGGAGCACAAAACAAAGAGAGGAAUUAUCAAAUCUGGUGAAGAAGAAGAUUUCAUGGAUGUCAUGCUUUCCAUUUGUGAAGACAGAGAUCUGCCUGGUUUUGAUGCCGAUACUGCUAUAAAAGCUAAUUGCAUGGUACGUUUGUUCAUUAUCUGCUAAAAGUUACUAUUUCAAAGCAGAUUACUGAAUAUAUAUAUAUAUAUAUAUGUUGAAUUUGUCAGGGUCUACUAUCGGCAGGUACAGACACCACCAUCGUAACUUUAACAUGGGCUUUAUGUUUACUCUUGAACAACUACGAAGCACUAAAAAAGGCUCAAGAUGAGCUAGACGCUCAUGUCGGCAACAACAGAUGGGUCCAAGAAUCGGAUAUCAAGAACUUGGUUUAUCUUCAAGCUAUUGUCAAAGAAGUAUUACGUUUAUAUCCAGCUGGACCGCUCUCUGUACCACACGAGUCAAUGGAGGAUUGUGUCAUUGGGGGAUACGAUAUACCAAAAGGGACUCGCUUAUUAGUGAACUUAUGGAAGAUUCAGCACGAUCCUAAUAUAUGGCCAAAUCCUCACGAGUUUAAGCCAGAGAGGUUCUUGUCGACCCACAAGGAUGUCGAUGUAAAGGGAAAUCACUUUGAGUUAAUGCCAUUUGGUAGUGGAAGAAGAAUGUGCCCUGGAAUAUCUUUGGCCCUUCAAGUGGUGCCCUUUGUAAUAGCAGUGUUGCUGCAGGGGUUUGACAUGAAGAGGCCUUCAGAUGAAGCAAUUGACAUGAGUGAGAGCUUUGGAUUGACAGUGCUCAAAGCUUCUCCACUCCAAGUUCUCCUUGCUCCGCGCUUAGCUUCCGUUCUUUAUGAAUGAAAUGAUGAUAAGAUUUGUUCCUCGUGCCACUACUGUAUACUACUAGUUUGUAAUAUUGUAGUGCAAAUAAUAACAGAACUUCAAAAUUCCUACAUUUGAAAUGUGAUUGUAAAAGUAUUUCUGGAGCCCUUGUUCAAUUUAUAACUGUGACGUUAGGUCUAUAUAUUACCUUCUCAAACCAUUAUUUCAUUUCAUUUCAGUCUGAAGAGAUUUGAAGAAUCAUUCAUCUUUUCCUUCAACCACCUUUCGUACUUUGUAUUGAUAGACAUUUUCACUUCAAAUUUUAGAAUGUGUCUAAACAUUUGUAUGCUAUGAUUAGAUAGUAAUUCGAGUACGACUAUUUUCUCCAUUUCUCUCCAAUAUGGGCCUUCUCCCAAAACGGCAUAGUUAUAGGCCAAGCGCUCUACUGCCAACGGUUUAGGCCAGCUUGCCAAGGCCUUAAGCAAUCUUGGGCUAUUUACUGAAAAGAGGAAGAUGGCCGAUUACAGGCCAUAAUCCAGCAACUUUAGGGGGUGUCCUGCUGUUAAUGUUGCCUCUUUUGUUACCAAAAAUCCCAAAAAGUACGUACAUGAAAUAGAGAAAAUUAAUAAAUGUAGCAACAUAAGUAAUGGACAACUAGCAAAAAAAAUAAAAAUAAACCAUGGCUUAAGGAAAUUAGAGGGAGAAUACUUAAUUAGAUGACUGAUUAAUUAUGAUCAACAUUAUGUGUUAUACAUAUGAUGGAAAUAUAGCUAGAUUCCUUAAUCACUUCACGUGAAAUUACAUUGAUUUUGAUAUACCAACUAAUCAAAUGUUUUAGUACUUAAAAGAAAAUUUUAAGCAUAGUUGGUAGUUGAUAGCAAAGGCGUGACAGUAACUUAGAAGUUGUUAAAUAUUAGUAAUAUUAGAAUUAGAUGAGAGUAUUGAUAAAAUUUUGUUAGGAAUAACAUCUCUGAAUGACCAUAAUAAACACAAUUCAAAUUUAAUCAAACUUUAAUGCGAUUGAGAAACCAAAAACACAUUCAGCUUGAUUUUGUUUGUAUUCAAUGAUUUAUUUCAAUUUGAAGUUGAAUAUUCAAAGUUUGCAAAAUUAGCUUUACUUUGAAAAAUAGUUCUCCUCAAGAAAUGUCAAUAAUUUAUUCGAAAAGUACUAGCUCACCAACUUCGUGUCGUAACGCGUACUAAAGUGUACCAAAAAGUCAUAUAAUACAAUUUGACAUUUGUAUGCUUUUGUAAUAGCAUUUCCAAUCCUAAAUUCUAUUUAUCAUCAAAUAUAUAUUUUUAUAUAAAUAACUAAUUUUAAUCUAACGAUUAAUUAAAUUUAUAUUAUUUAAUUAUUUAUUAUAGUUAUAAUUCACAACUAAUAUUAUAUAUUAAUUACGUGUGUUGACUUUAAGUUUGUAUAAUUAGCCACAUUUAUAUAUGUAUAAUUUGCCAUAAUAUAUAAAUACAAAUAUAUAAUACUAUAGAAUUAUCUAACCAAUAUAUAUAUAGAGAGAGAGAGAGAAUUCACAUCCCUCUCACUUUAUGUCCUCUCUCGCUCGCCUCUCUCCUCUGUCUCCCUAUCUCGGGCGCCUAUCUUCUCCUUCUCCUUGCCUCGCUUGCCAUAUAUAUAUAUAUAAACAUAUGUAUAAUAUACAAUUAUCUGACUAAUAUACAUAUAUACAAUUCACCUAUCACUCACUCUUUUCCCUCUCGCUCGCCUCUCUCCUCUCUUUCCCAUUCUCACUCACCUCUCUCCUCCCUAUAACAUAUAACUAUCAAUUUUAGUUAUCAAACUAUAGCUAUUUAUAUUAAUUAGGUUAUUUUUAAGUGACUAUAUGUGAAAGUUCAUCUUUUCUAUUUUAUUUUCUAAAAAAAUAAUCUUUUUUUCUCUCCUCAAUAUUACAUUAUUAUUUCUUCGUUCUUAUUUUCUUAUUUCAUAAUUUAAAUUUUUUCUUUCUUUUUCCCAAAUAAUUACUUGAUAUAAUUUUCAUAAUGUAAAAUUUUAUUUUUUCAAAUCUUUUAUUUAAUAUAAACUUAUAUUUUAUUUUAAAUUUUACAUAAAAUAUAUUGCAAGAAAAAAUUAGACAAUAGACAAAUUAAUGAACAAAUUCAAAUAAAAGUGCAAUAUAAUUACAUAAACACUCAUUUUUCAAAAUUAUUAUGUUGUUCUCGUAAAUGUUCUAUUAAUGCAUUACAACAUUCAAAAUAAAUAAUUUUUUUCCCUUAAUUCUUUAUAUCUAACUAAAAAUUAUUCAAAUCGAAGAUUUUCAUCUACCAAUAUAUUUUUUUUUCGAAUAGUGAUGAAUUUGGAGACGGCCUAUCAAUUUACUAAAUUGUUGUUAUAAUAAAAUAGUUAUUAGGUUGUACAUUGUAUUGUGUUUUAUCUUAUAUUCAUGUAAUGUAUUGUAUUUUUAAAUUAUUUUUUUUUAUCUUUUAUCACUUUAAUGUUAUGCAUUAUCUAGCAGUAUAGAGAGUAAAAUAGAGCUUAUCAUGUCUACGUCCACACGCCAUUGCUAUCACCAUUCCCAAUGCAACUUUGUCGUUUGUCUAAUGGAUAUUAUUAUUAUUUCCUUAUAAGAGUUGUGCACAACUCUCCCAAAAAUAGGAGAGGAUCCACAGUAACUGUCUUUUCCACACCAAAAAGUUAUGUCAACGCUUUCGUAUACAAAUUCAUAUUUACGAUUCAUGCGUCUAAGUUUUCAUAAAAAUAAACAAGGUAAGAGUGUUAUCACUUACCCCAAUCUCUCUACAUAAAUUUCAAGUGUCUCACAUCGAAGAGGACGACUGAUAAAUUUUAUUAGCAAUGGAUCCCUUUCUAAUUGCUGUUACAUUAGCUACCUCCUUUUUUCUAAUUUUCUUUCUUCAGAAACAAUUUUACUCAGUUAAAAAGCAGAGUAGUAGUAGAAAGGUACCUGGAGCUGGCGGAGCAUGGCCUAUUAUCGGCCAUCUCCACCUUCUCGCUGGAUCUGAAUCUGAUCACUUGCCUCACAAAACGUUGAGCCGCAUGGCAGAUAAGUACGGGCCGAUAUUCGGAAUGAAGCUUGGAGUUCAUCAGGUUGUAGUUGUGAGCGAUCCCAAAUUAGUCAAAGAAUGCUUCACAACUAACGAUUUAGCCCUAGCCAACCGGCCUAAAUCCAUGGUUUCAGAGAUUAUAGGCUACAAAGACGCUAUGUUUGGACUUUGUUCUUACGGUCCUUACUGGAGAGAAACAAGGAAAAUUGCCACAAUUGAACUUUUCUCAGCUCGGCGAAUCGAGAUGCUCAAACACAUCAGAGAAUUUGAGGUAAAAUCAUCUGUUAAAGAGAUUUAUAAUAAUUGGGGGAAGAAUAAUUUAAAUGGUUUUGUGAAGAUGGAGAUGAAGGAAUGGAUUGGAGAUUUAGUUAUGAACACUAUGGGGAAAAUAUUAUUCGGAAAAGGGCGAAGGAGUAAUGAGGACGAAGGAAUAAAUAAGGCUCACAAAGCAAUUCGAAGAUUUUUCGAAUUGUUAGGAGCUUUUGUUGUGGCUGAUUUUUUACCUUACUUAAGAUGGCUGGACAUUGGAGGCCAUGAGAAAGCGAUGAAGGAGGUUUCUAAAGAAUUGGACUCUGUUGUUGCAGAAUGGUUAACAGAGCACAAAACAAAGAGAGGAAUUAUUAAAUCUGGUGAAGAAGAAGAUUUCAUGGAUGUCAUGCUUUCCAUUUGUGAAGACAGAGAUCUGCUUGGAUUCGAUGCCGAUACCGCUAUCAAAGCUACAUGUAUGGUACGUUAAUUAUUCCAAAAUUGUUUCUAUCUUGAUCUCGUAUAUGAAUUUGAUUGCUGAAUUUGUCUUGUUUAGGCUCUGCUAUCGGCAGGUACAGACACGACGAUUGUAACUCUAACGUGGACUUUAUCUCUACUACUCAAUAACUAUCAAUCACUUCAAAAGGCUCAAGAUGAGCUAGACGCUCAUGUUGGCAAGAACAGAUGGGUCCAAGAAUCGGAUAUAAAAAGCUUAGUUUAUCUUCAAGCUAUUGUUAAAGAAGCAUUACGUUUAUAUCCAGCUGCACCACUCUCAGUACCACACGAGUCGAUGGAGGAUUGUACUAUCAGUGGGUAUGAUAUACCAAAAGGCACUCGCUUACUAGUGAACUUAUGGAAGAUUCAGCACGAUCCUAAUAUAUGGCCAAAUCCUCUCGAGUUUAAGCCAGAGAGGUUCUUGUCGACCCAUAAGGAUGUGGAUGUAAAGGGCAAUCACUUUGAGUUAAUGCCAUUUGGUAGUGGAAGAAGAAUGUGCCCUGGAAUUUCGUUAGCCCUUCAAGUUUUGCCCUUUGUAAUUGCAAAAUUGCUGCAGGGUUUUAACAUGAAGAGGCCUUCAGAUGAACCAAUUGAUAUGAGUGAGAGCUUUGGAUUGACCGUACUCAAAGCUUCUCCACUCGAAGUUCUCCUUGCUCCGCGCUUGGCUCCCGAUCUUUAUGAAUGAAAUGAUAGACAAAACUUGUGCCUCAUGCCACUGUUGUUUACUACAAGUUUGUAAUAUUGUAAUGCAGAUAAUAACAGAACUUAAAAAUUCCUUCAUUUGAAAUGCGAUUGUAAAAGUAUUUUACAAGUCCAUCAAGUUUUGGUGGUGAAUAAUAAUAAGAUUGCUCAACUGCCACAGGCCUUGGCAUUAGAACUCUUGUGCUACAACUACUCCCUUUUGUGCUUGGGCAAUUAUUGGCAAGAUAUCAAAAAGAGAGUCGUAGUUGAUUUACUCGAUAUCAAAUGUUGCUCAAAAUAUAAAUGAGAAAUUAGUUCGAGAACUUGAUCAUAAACUUUAGUGUACAUAGUAAUUUGAAUCUACAAUUUUAUGUUAAAAUAUAUGAUCAACGCAUUUAAUAAUUUAACAUACUAUUAAAGAGAUUGAACAUGUUUUUAUUUUUUUUAGUUACGUCUAACCUAGUGAGCAAAAUAUUAUGUACCUAGUUGUUGAGGCCACAGUAUUCAACUCUCGUACAUACAUGUUAGGCAUGUGUAUGUAUAUAUUCACUUAAAAUUUGUCUUCAUUAUAAUGAUUUCUUAAUUUGUACCUUGUGAGAAUCUUUUAGGGUUGGUAGUGAUGAUACCACAUGGGCAAAAAUUCAUCGUACCUCUCAAAAAGGCCAGGUUGUACUAGUGAGUUGGACAACAUGUGAUAUCUAACGAGGAAAUCAUGAAUAUGAUUUUCCACUACUACUAUAUUUUUCCAAUAGAGUUUAACGCACUUAACGUAUUCACGUGAAUUUAUGCUCCUCUUUUAAAUUAUAUAUAACAGUGUUAUAUUUUUUAAAAAGUAUUUAAGCAUAGAUGUGUGAACUCACACUUGAAGUAUCAAAUAACGUCGUGUUAUAAUGAUUGGAUGCACUUCUCUAAUCAAAGUUAAAAAAAUUUGAAUCUUUUAUUUGACAAAAUAAAGUUAAACUGGAUGAAUUUAUAUCUUAAAUUUUCUUUUUCGUAGUACACCUAUCAUCUCAAAAUUCUGAAUAUGCCUCUGCUAGUAUAAUUUCAAAAAUUAUUGCAUAUAAGUGAAUCUACUAGAUGCGUACUCAAAGUAUAGCAAUCGAGUUUUCCAUUGGUUAAACACAAGAAGAAGAAAAAAGGAAGAAGCCAAGUUGUUUCAUGGAACAUACUUCGCGAAUUAUCAACUUUCCAUAGUAUAAAAUAGUAUUAAACAUAGUAAUAUUUCUAUUAGUUCUUUUUUUUAUUUAAUAUUUCUACUAGUUACAUUAGCACCGAUUAUAAAUAAUUAUUGUAAAUCACACUAGAUACACACUAUAUAUAUAUAUGGUGUGAUUUGAACGAAUUUGGGAAAUCAGACGAUACACAAGCGAAAUAUUAAAGUGAAGAGGGAUAUGAGAGAGAGGCGAAAGAGAUAUGCGCAUGGUGAGCAAGAUAAGAGGAAGACAGACUAGAUUUAUCUAUUAUACUAAAUACACGUGAUUCACACUAAUAUGUCUAAACAUUUGUACACAAUGAUUAGAGAGUAAUUCGAGUACAACUAUUUUCUCCAUUUCUCUCCAAUAUGGGCCUUUCCCAAAACGGCUAUGUUAUAUGCCUAGAGCUCUAUUGCCAACGACUUAAGCCGGCUUGCCAAGUCCUUAAUGUUGGUUAGUAAACCAAUCUUGGGCUACCUUCGUAUCGUUCAACAAAAUUUGAUGGGCUCCAAAUUUUACUGUGAAAAUUGGCGCAUAUUUGUCUGCCAUGAGCCCAAGUGUUUUGUGAGGCAGAUUAGAUCCAGUGAAAAGAUGAAGAUGGCCGAUAACAAGGAAAAACUACUUAACUACACAUAAAUUACUAUCAUAUAUACAAUUUUAUCUCUAGUUUCAAACAAUUACUUAUGUUAUUACUUUUUAUAUUUUAUAUCAUAUAUUUUAAAAGAUACAAUCAGAUAAACAAUUUUUUUUUAAAAAAUGAAUUGAUUAAUUAUCUUUGUAUUUAAACACCUAAAUAAUGGUGAAUUGACAUAGAAAAAUUCUCUCUCAUCAAUCAUAUCUCUCUUCCAAAUAAAAUUCUUAUUAUUCAUCCGUAUUGCAUCUGUCAUCCCACCCUCAUAUACAUCCGCCAAUAUUUUUUCUUUCUCUGAAAUUACAUUUAAAUAGCAAAUCAAAAUUGUUGAAUGCCUUGAAUUGGGCCCUUAAUUUUCUAUUGAUUCUGUAUGUUGGGCCCAAGCCUGUUAGGGCGUAGCUUAGCACUAUAUAUAGACGCUAUGGGAAACCCUAUUCUGUAAUUCUGUUCUUGCCUCUCCAUAAUAAAACUGUCCCCCUCUUUCCGUGGACGUAGCCAAUUUAUUGGUGAACCACGUAAACUGUUGUCUUGUUUUUCGCGUUUAUAUUUUCUCGUAUUAUCUCAAAUUCCGCACAACAAAUUGGUAUAAGAGCCUCUCGGUUAAUCGGUGUUCUUGGAGAAUUCGAGAUGUCUGCUUUGAACGUGAAAAUCGACAAAUUCACAGGGAGGAACAGUUUCAGUUUAUGGCAGAUCAAGAUGCGGGCUUUGUUGAAACAGCAAGGCUUCUGGGCGCCGUUGUCGAAAGACAAGAACGCCGUCGUUACUCCUGAGAUGGCGAUUCUGGAGGAAAAGGCGCACUCGACGAUCAUGCUGUGUCUCGCGGAUGACGUCAUCACGGAGGUCUCGGAUGAAGAGACUGCUGCUGGUCUGUGGUUGAAGCUGGAGAGUUUGUACAUGACAAAAUCUCUAACCAACAAGCUGCUUCUGAAACAACGUCUAUUCGAUUUACGAAUGGCUGAAGGUACACAACUCAGGGAACACUUAGAGCAAUUGAAUACUUUGUUAUUAGAAUUGCGUAAUAUCGAUGUGAAGAUCGAGGAUGAAGAUGCUGCCCUGAUUCUGUUAGUAUCUCUCCCAAUGUCGUUUGAGAAUUUUAUUCAAUCGUUCAUUGUUGGGAAAGAUACUGUGUCACUGGAAGAAGUCAGAUCGGCCCUUCAUAGCAGGGAAUUACGGCAUAAGGCUAACGGCACAAGUACGGACAUACAGCCUUCCGGUCUGUUCACCAGUAGCGGAAAGGGAAGGAAAAACGGCGGAAAGAAAAAUAAGCCGAUGUCGAAGGGUGCAAAGCCGGAUGAUGUUUGUAAUUACUGCAAGGAGAAGGGACAUUGGAAAUUUGAUUGUCCGAAGAAGAAGAAGCAAUCGGAAAAACAAUCAGUGUCUGCUGCUGUUGCUGAAGAAGACACCAAUUCUGAAGAAGAUAUUGCCCUAGUUGCGGAUGAGCACACUCAUCAUUCAGAUGUGUGGGUUCUCGAUUCUGGGGCAUCCUAUCACAUCUGUCCUAGGAGAGAGUGGUUCACGACUUAUGAGCAGGUAGACGGAGGCAGCAUCUCGAUGGCCAACAGUUCUGUCUGCAAGGUGGUUGGGACAGGCUCGAUCAAGAUAAGGACACAUGACGGUAGCUUCUGCACAUUGAACGAGGUCAGGCACGUUCCAUUGAUGAUGAAAAAUCUGAUAUCUCUCAGUCUUUUGGACAGCAAGGGAUUCAGCUGGUCGGGAAAAGAUGGAGUCUUGCGGGUCUGGAAGGGUUCAAAUUUGAUUCUGAAAGGUGUCAUGCGUGGUACUUUGUAUUUUCUACAAGGUUCCACGGUUACAGGUUCAGCCCAUGUUGCAUCGUCAGAAUUUCACCAGAAGGAUAUGACUAAGUUAUGGCACAUGAGACUUGGUCAUAUGGGUGAAAGAGGGAUGCAAAUUCUGUCAAAGGAGGAUUUACUUGCUGGUCAUAAGGUUAAGAGCCUAGAGUUUUGUGAACAUUGUGUUUUUGGAAAACUACAUCGCAACAAGUUUCCAAAGGCCAUUUAUAGAACAAAAGGCACACUUGAUUAUAUUCAUUCUGAUUGCUGGGGUCCAUGCCGUGUUGAGUCUUUGGGAGGUUGCAGAUUUUUUGUGUCCAUUAUUGAUGACUACUCAAGGAUGACUUGGGUGUACAUGAUGAAGCAUAAAAGUCAAGCCUUCCAGAAGUUCAAGGAGUGGAAAAUUUUGAUGGAAAAUCAAACAGGGAAGAAGAUCAAGAGGUUGCGAACUGAUAAUGGGCUGGAAUUCUGUUGGUCUGAAUUUGAUCAAUUCUGUAAGGAUGAAGGGAUUGCUCGACAUCGUACAGUCAGAAAUACACCACAGCAGAACGGUGUAGCUGAGCGGAUGAAUCAAACACUUCUGGAGAGAGCAAGGUGCAUGUUCUCUAAUGCUGGGCUAGAUAGAAGAUUCUGGGCAGAAGCGGUUAGUACAGCUUGCUACUUGAUUAACCGCGGACCACAUACAGGCAUACAGUGCAAGACACCUAUGGAGAUGUGGUCAGGAAAAGCUGCUGAUUAUUCAAAUCUGAAAGCUUUUGGUUGUACGGCUUACUAUCACGUCAGUGAAGGUAAGUUAGAACCAAGAGCUAAAAAGGGAGUAUUUGUGGGCUACGGAGAUGGAGUGAAAGGUUUCAGAAUCUGGUCUCCAGCAGAAAAGAGGGUUAUUAUGAGCAGGAACGUUGUCUUUGAUGAAAGUUCUCUGCUUAGAACCAUUGUGAAGCCUACAACUACGUCAGAAACUGGGAGUCUUGACAAACAGGUGGAGUUUCAAGUCAUUCAGAACGAGAGAGAUUUAAAGGAACCUGAAGAGGAGGAUCAAGAGCCACAGACAAAAACUGAUAUUCCAGAAUCUAUGCCAUCAGAUAUCCAUCAGAGUAUAGCUCAAGAUCGGCCAAGGAGGGUUGGAGUUCGGCCACCUACGAGGUAUGGUUUUGAGGACAUGGUGGGUUAUGCACUGCAGGUUGCUGAAGAGGUAGAUACAUCUGAGCCGUCUACUUACAAAGAAGCCAUUUUAAGUUCUGAUUCUGAAAAAUGGUUUGCCGCUAUGGGAGAUGAGAUGGAGUCCCUACACAAGAAUCAGACAUGGGAUCUGGUCAUACAGCCUUUGGGGAGAAAGAUUAUUACUUGCAAAUGGGUUUUCAAGAAGAAGGAAGGGAUAUCACCAGCAGAAGGAGUCAAGUAUAAAGCCAGGGUUGUUGCCAGAGGUUUCAACCAAAGAGAGGGAGUGGACUACAAUGAGAUCUUCUCACCAGUGGUCAGACAUACUUCCAUCCGAGUGUUACUAGCGAUAGUUGCACAUCAGAAUCUGGAGCUUGAACAACUUGAUGUGAAGACAGCGUUUCUACAUGGAGAGUUGGAGGAAGAGAUAUACAUGACUCAGCCGGAUGGUUUCCAAGUUCCAGGGAAGGAAAAUCACGUCUGCAAGUUGAAGAAGUCCUUAUAUGGACUUAAGCAGUCUCCAAGGCAGUGGUAUAAAAGGUUUGACAGCUAUAUGGUGAAGUUGGGCUAUACUCGGAGCUCAUAUGAUUGUUGUGUCUACUACAAUAGGCUCAAUGAUGAUUCAUUCAUCUAUCUGGUGCUUUAUGUAGAUGAUAUGUUGAUAGCUGCAAAGAAGAAGUAUGACAUUCAGAAGCUGAAGGGUUUACUUAGUGCUGAGUUUGAGAUGAAGGAUCUGGGAGCCGCUCGGAAGAUUUUAGGGAUGGAGAUCAUUAGAGACAGAGAGAGAAGGAAACUUUUCUUGUCACAGAGAAGCUACAUUCAGAAGGUCUUGGCGAGGUUUGAUAUGUCUUCAUCUAAGCCCAUUGAUACCCCCAGUGCUGCCAAUAUCCAUCUCACUGCCAUGUUCGCUCCACAGUCAGAAGAAGAGAAGGAGUAUAUGUCACGAGUCCCUUAUGCCAGUGCCGUAGGAAGUUUGAUGUAUGCUAUGGUCUGUACAAGGCCAGAUUUAGCACAUGCAGUCAGUGUAGUGAGCAGAUUCAUGGGACAACCAGGGAGAGAACAUUGGCAGGCUGUGAAGAGAAUUUUCCGGUACCUUAGAGGUACAUCUGACGUUGGUCUCAUUUAUGGAGGUAAUACUCAGUGCUUGGUUACUGGCUAUUCUGAUUCAGACUAUGCUGGAGAUGUUGACACAAGAAGAUCGAUGACUGGCUAUGUGUUUACCCUUGGAGGAUCUGUCGUCAGUUGGAAGGCAACUUUGCAACCUACAGUGACUUUGUCUACUACGGAAGCGGAGUACAUGGCCUUGACAGAGGCUGCAAAAGAAGGGAUUUGGUUGAAAGGGCUGGUUAGCGAUCUUGGUCUGCAUCAUGAUCAGGCUACGGUGUAUUGUGACAGUUUGAGCGCAAUUUGUCUAGCCAAGGAUCAAGUCCAUCAUGAGAGAACCAAGCAUAUUGACGUAAGGUAUCAUUUUCUGAGAAGUGAGAAGAGAAUCAAGGUGAAGAAAGUAGGAACUGCUGAUAAUCCUGCUGAUAUGUUUACAAAGCCGGUUCCACAGAGCAAGUUUCAACACUGUUUGGACUUGCUCAACAUCAGAAGCUGUUAAUUGCCCUGCGGGGCAACUCUGAGGAAGAUGGGGAGGCCUGACACUAUCAUAGUGCGUCUGAAGAAUCUGUUCGGAGAAUUCAAGUCAAGGUGGAGAUUUGUUGAAUGCCUUGAAUUGGGCCCUUAAUUUUCUAUUGAUUCUGUAUGUUGGGCCCAAGCCUGUUAGGGCGUAGCUUAGCACUAUAUAUAGACGCUAUGGGAAACCCUAUUCUGUAAUUCUAUUCUUGCCUCUCCAUAAUAAAACUGUCCCCCUCUUCCCGUGGACGUAGCCAAUUUAUUGGUGAACCACGUAAACUGUUGUCUUGUUUUUCGCAUUUAUAUUUUCUCGUAUUAUCUCAAAUUCCGCACAACAAAAAUUGUAUAUAGAAAUUUGUAACUUUGUUUCAUUAUUCUCAUGUAUCUAGAAUAAAGUUCUCCCUUUUCACAUAUAUAUGUGUAGAGUUCAUAUCAUUUUAAAUUUUAAUUUUAAAUCUUUUUACGAAUUAAGUCCUACAUAGUAUGAUCUUGGUACUAUUUAUUAUUUCAUGGGUGAUCAUUCCCAAAAUUGAAUGAUCCCAGUAAAUGUACAAUACAUUAACAUUAAUAUAUAAUAUGUUUAUGAUAUAUGAACUUUUUAGUUUUGUUUUCUCUCAAUAUUUUUUCAUUGCAGGGUUAAAUCUCUAUCCGUUAACAUUCAAGCUAAGAAUAGAUCCUAGCACUAAAAUGACCCAAUAUAAAUGGAAGAACUAUGUGAACUCUGAAGCUCUACUUACCCAAAUAGAUACAACACUAAACCUAGUUACACAUCUAGUGCAAGAUGUUCUUUCUAACACAUCUUCUUAAGGAAACAAACCCAGAAAUUUAAAAAAGCAUGUAUCUUGAUUUUUUUUACUCGUAAGAUACACGUAUCUCAAUUUUUUAACUCUCGAAUACAUGGCAACUGGAAAAAAAAAAGACAUCCGUGGCUCAAGGAAAUUAGAGGGGGAAUACUUAAUUAGAUGACUGAUUAAUUAUGAUCAACAUUAUGUGAAUGUAUAUGAUGGAAAUAUAGCUAAAUUCCUUAAUCACUUUUUGUGAAAUAAUAUUUAUUUUGAUAAAGAGAAUAUGAAUAGUAAUUUUUCUAACUUCUACCCUUAUUUAGAAGGGACGGUUUAGAGGACUAACACUGCAUAAGAAAAUUGUACCAAAAGCAAAGUAAAUUGUACUACUUUUGCUCUGUCUGGCCCAUAUUUAUUGGCAAUAGUUGCUUUACAUCCACGUGUAAGAAAUUGGAAUCACCUCUGCUUUUGAAAUAAAUAAAUUGUCUCUCUUUGCAAACUAUAAACAUCUCUAUCACUUUCUCUUUUUAUCUUGAAAUGGGUGAGUUCUUUUUGUCCCAUGUAUUAUAUGUGAUAAUUGUAAAAUGUCUAUUUUUAUCCUUCAAUUCCUAAUUUAUUUCCAGUUCUUUUUGGUAUUUAUUGGAUAUUAUGAUUUUUAAUGCAUUGUUGUAAGAUAUUAUUCUUGCAUGUUACUAAUUCGGUUUGAUUUAAUCAGGGUUGUUCGAAAAUUGAUUUCUCCAUUUUUUUACUAGAUGGUGUGAUGUAGUACUGUAGCGCAUCUAGAGCUUUUUUGUGGGUUUUUGUUCUUUUAGAACUUGUCAAUUUUUUUUUCUAUUUGUGCAAGUUUGAGCUCCCUAUUUUGAAAGUUAAAUUUUUAUUUUGAAUUUUGAAUUUGACUUGAGAGUUGUAUUGUGAAUGGCUUAGGAAAAUAACAAAGAUAGCCUAUAUGUAGAGCAAUGAAACUCGAACGUGAAUUUGGGGAAACAACAAACGUCUAUUUCCAUCUUAAGAGUAGUUCCAUUUUUUUAAAAAAAAAUGAGAAAAAAUCAUGUGAAUGUAGAGUAACGCAUGUUUUUCUUUCCUCCUUUGAAUUGCUUCCCUUUCAUAUCAAUCUGCUAAUAUUGAUCCAUUUGACAACUAAUUUUAAUGUUUUCUUAUUUUUCUAGCAUAUGGAAAGAUGCAAGCACAAGGUGGAUAAGCUGAUAGGAAAAAACAUGUUCUCGGGAUCACUAGAACCCUUUGGGAUGCUUCAACCAAUAAUGAAAGCAUAUAGUUUUUCUCCACCGUAUUACAGUAACAAAAUUUUUUUUCAUAAGUUCCUUUUGGCUCAUUUGGUGUCGAAUGCACAAGCAGAGCAGAGAAGAACAAGGUAAACGUAAUGGUAGCACAAUGUAAUUAUAGAAAACUUCAGUAUUUAGGAUAGAAAGUCGACUGGUCCGUUAAAAGUUUUCUUAUUUUGCAUAAAUUACUUUAAGUGUUCUCAAUAGAGUUAUAGCGUGACAUGUGGAUGGAUUUUCCUAAAUUGUUAUUGCAUUCGUAUAUAAUUUUAUGCACUACUUUUGAAGUAUCCGACACGAAGAGUCCAAGCAACAUAGCAAGUAGAAAAAAGUGUCCCCGCAAAUGCAGCAAUAAGAAGAAAGGUCUUUGGUUAUCCAGGAGGUGACACUGUUGUUGUGAUAAACCCUGUUGUCGAAAUCAAAAUUCUUCGGAAGAGCCGAUUAAACACUCUUGAGCAAAAGAAAAGCAAAUACGACUGAAGAUUUUUACUUCCCUCUCUUUUACCAAUAAUGAAAGAUAUGAAUGCAUUCCCUUGCCUAGAUGAAAGGUAUAUCAAGUAAUAUCAUUAUAUAUAGUUAGAUUGAUGAUCUAUUAUCAGGUUGUUUAUGGAUGUUCAUGCAAAUCGAACAAUCUUCUUCUUGAUGUUGUGAUCCUGUGCAUUACAGUUUAGAUUACAUUUCAAUAUUGACAUUUUAAACUUGAAGUAUAGUUUAUACAGAACAACUCACAAUAACUCUAACUUAAAUAGCUUGAUUUCUGAAAAUACCAUAUUAACAAAAAUGACAAGCUUUAUUAAUAUUAAAAUGGAUGAAAGCUAAAAAAAUAAUUCAGACACACAUAUAGGUCAACUGGUGAUAUAUUAUUCCAUAUUUGCUUUUGUACUUUUUCACUAUAGUAAAUAUUUUUAUGAUGAUCGACAUGUCAACUUUUUGUCUACUUUGUAUUAAAUUGUUCAGGUUGUACAUUAGCUUGGAUAGUAGUAAAUUUAUCAUUUUUUAAUACAAUUAUCUACAACUCAUUUUAUUUGUACUUAAAUAGAUAGUAGUAACCAAUGAACUCAUAACGCUUAUCUUAAGAUUCCAUAUUCAGACCAUAAAAACUACAUAUCUAUUUUAUCACUCAUUGGUGGAAAGUCUAAAUCUAUAACUAUAUGAUAUUUCAUUCCAGGCAUUUUUGAUAAAAGCAAGCUGAGAAUAGAGUCAUAUUUGGUGAACAUUUCUUCAGCUGGACACUUAAAUCGGGGAUCGACUCUAAAACCUUUCCUGGGUACAUGUAUAGGGUGUCAAAGUUGAACUAGGAAGCAUCCGUACUAGCAUGUGACAUCUUCGACUUUACCCGUCUUUGGAGUCUAUUUGUAAGUCCAAAUUUAUGGAUGUUCAGAAAGAACUUGAUUGAUAAUAUCGUUUUUUCAGUUCAUAGCGUUGGUUUGAUAUUUGAGAUCUGUUUAUGUUGUAAAUGUGCAAAGUCUAAUCUUUUGAUUGUAAAAAAAAGGAUUAUAAUCUUAGGCUAUGAAAUUUAUACAUCACUUCCCUUGCGGUUAGUAUUUAUUUUUUAAUGCUCAAAUGUCCUCUUUAUUCAUGUUUUCUUUGUGAAUUCUAGCCUCAGGAGUAUCUAUCGGAUAAAAAUAGCAGUAACAACAAGUAAAGAGGAUUGAAGCAACAAUGUCUUUGACGAAAUUUUCCAGUGAAAGAAAGAUCACCAACAAGUUUGUUUAACUCUUUUUCUACAACUAUCUACUAUCAAGCUCAUCGCUUAGCAUGGACGUUAAUCAUCGAUAUUUCUUUUGUCAUGCUAUUCUCUACAUUAUGCUUCAUAUACAAAAGACAUAUGUCUUGAAUCGAAAAUGAACACUCAUUUAGUUGAAUUAAGAUACUGAAUGUUGUCACAAUUGUUUACUUGGUGUUUAAAUGAACUUUAUUUGAAGUAUCAUACCAUUAUUCAAUGGUAUUGAAAAAUUGAGGAUAAGUAUAACGUUUUAAUUAAAUUUUAGUUAAAAUUGUGAGUUUGAGUUGUAAUUUAUCCUAUCUGAAACUGCUUACUCUAGCAAUAUGUUGGUAUCUCAUAUUGAGAAGUACAUUGUUGCUAUUCCUGGCCCAGUUCACUAUAUUUUUAUGAAAUUCUUUGAUCUCUACAGGUUUAUUUGUUUUUUGCUAUGAAUAACUUUGGAUAUAUUGGUGCUACUCCUAGCCUGAUUCACUAUAUCUCUAAUUUUCUAUUGAAUAGUGAAAAUGUAGGUUUUGAAGUGAUUUACUAAUACAUUAUAUGUGUACAUUUUGAUUUUUUUUAGAAGAAAUCACAAUGGACAUUCUUUUGUUUGACCAACAUCUAAGAUUAUCAGUUUCAUGUGUUAUUAUAAACUGUCAAAUAUUUAAUCUAUUCAGUAGGUAACUUUCUGAUUUAGUCUGCUUAGUUCAAGUUUUAUGAAUUUGAUGAAAAAACAUUUGGAAUGAUUAGCAAUUAGUACUUUUCGAUCCUUGCUCACUUUAACCAUUAUAUAUCGUUAGUGAGGUAAGUAAUCGAAAAAACAAUCGAAUUCUAGAAACAGAACAGAUUAGAUCAUGGAAAAGGAUUGAUUAUAAAUUCUCUUAUUAUCAUUUCUUCAGGUAUAAUUUUACAUGGCUAAAGAUGAAAAUUGACCUUGAUAGGCUUUAAUAGAAACUUGUGUUGACUACUUCUGGCCUGUGGAAAGCAGAUAUGUACAAGAGUUGAAAAGUUAAUGUUUUUUUAAAUGAUAUGUUGUAAAUGCGGAAUGUUUCCAAUUACUUUUUUGUUGAUCAGGCGACAUCCGAAUUUGAACUGGGAAAAAAAGGAUUUGCAAUCCUCUUAGAGUCUUUUACCAUGUCUGCUCUUUACUUGAUCAUCUCUUUCAUUGAUACAUCGAGAUUACUUGAAUAAAUUAUUUCUGUAGUUUAUACUGCUAAAUUUAAAAUUUAUGGAGAUCGAACUUGCAAUGUUGGGCCUGUGCUCAGCACGGGCCAUGCCUCUCUAGUUAAAAAAAUAAAGGAUAGAAUUUAAAAUAAAGAGAUAUUAAAGUAUUCAUUUUCUAUUUUGUUUCUAAACGUAGAAAAUGAAAAAUAAAAUAAAGUUGAGUCGGGGAUGACCUUACCCUCUCUACGUCCACAUGCAACGCUAUCACCAUUUGCAAUGCAACUUGUCGUUUGUCUAAUGGAUAUUAUUAUUAUUUCCUUAUUAAGAGUUGUGCACAACUCUCCCAAAAAUAGGAGAGGAUUCGUAUAUCUUUUACACUUUGAAGUUAUGUCAAAAUGUCGAUGCUUUCGUAGAAUUUAAUACAAAAUUCAUGUGUUUGAGUCUUGAUGAAAAUUAAAAAUAAGAAUAUUUUAUAUCAUUCGUUUUAAUUUUAAGGGAAAAUGUCCAAGUACCUCCUCAACCUAUACCCGAAAUUCCAGAGACAUACUUAUACUAUACUAAGGUCCUAUUACCCCUGAACUUAUUUUAUAUGUAAUAUUAUACCCUUUUUAGCCUACGUGGCACUAGUUCAAAAAAAAAGUCAACCAUCGUUGGGCCCACAAGAUAGUGCCACGUAAGCUAAAAAGGGUAAAAAAUUAUUAAUAAAAUAAGUUCAAGAGUAAUAAGACCUUAGUAUAGUAUAAGUGUGUCUCUGAUAUUUCGGGCAUAGGUUAAGAGGUACUUGGGCAUUAUCCCAAUUUUAAUGAAAAUAAAAACAAAUAAGAUAAAGAGUAUUUUAUAUGGAUGAGAAGAGCUCUCUAUAAGUUCCGAGUGUUUUCACUUAACCACGGUAGAGAAGAUGACUGACUGACAUAUUUUAUUACCCAUGGAUUUAUUUCUAAUUGUUGUUACAUUAGCUACCUCCUUUAUUCUACUUUUCAUUCUUCAUAAACAAUUUUACUCAGUUAAAAAGCAGAGUAGUAGUAGUAGAAAGGUACCUGAAGCUGGCGGAGCAUGGCCUAUUAUCGGCCAUCUCCACCUUCUCGGUGGAUCUGAAUCUGAUCACUUGCCUCACAAAAUGUUGGGCCGCUUGGCAGAUAAGUACGGGCCUAUUUUCGGAAUGAAGCUUGGAGUUCAUCAGGUUGUAGUUGUGAGUGAUCACAAAUUAGCAAAGGAGUGCUUCACAACUAACGAUUUAGCCCUAGCAGGUCGGCCUAAAUCAAUGGCUUCAGAGAUUAUAGGCUACAAACAUGCUAUGUUUGGACUUUGUUCUUACGGUCCGUACUGGAGAGAAACAAGGAAAAUUGCCACAAUUGAACUUUUCUCCGCUCGACGAAUCGAGAUGCUCAAACACAUCAGAGAAUUUGAGGUAAAAUCAGGUAUUAAAGAGAUUUAUAAUAAUUGGGAGAAGAAUAAUUUAAAUGGUGUUGUGAAGAUGGAGAUGAAGGAAUGGAUUGGGGAUUUAUUUAUGAACACUAUGGGGAAAAUAUUAUUCGGAAAAGGGCGAAGGAGUAACGAGGACGAAGGAAUAAAUAAAGCUCACAAAGCAAUUCGAAGAUUUUUCGAAUUGUUAGGAGUUUUUGUUGUGGCUGAUUUUUUACCUUAUUUAAGAUGGCUGGACAUUGGAGGCCAUGAGAAAGCGAUGAAGGAGGUUUCUAAAGAAAUGGACUCUGUUGUUGAAGAAUGGUUAACAGAGCACAAAACGAAGAGAGGAAUUAUUAAAUCUGGUGAAGAAGA
rnacentral:lncRNA from 1 species